rnacentral:rRNA from 1 species
AGCGAACGCUGGCGGCGUGGAUUAGGCAUGCAUGUCGAGCGAGAACGGGGCAACCCGGAGUAAGCGGCACACGGGUGAGGAAUGCGUGGAUAACUUGCCUUCAAGGCUGGGAUAACGGCGGGAAACUGCCGCUAAUACCGGAUGGCCUCGAUGCGUGGCAUCACGUGACGAGUAAAGGUGGGGACCGUAAGGCCUGCCGCUUGGAGAGAGGUUCACGUCCUAUCAGCUAGUUGGUGAGGUAACGGCUCACCAAGGCUUCGACGGGUAGGCGAGCUGAGAGGCUGACCGCCCACACUGGGACUGAGACACUGCCCAGACUCCUACGGGUGGCAG